AAGGCUCACCAAGGCGAUGACGGGUAGGGGGCGUGAGAGCGUGUCCCCCCACAAGGUCACUGAGACACGGGACCUACACCUACGGGUGGCAGCAACUAGGAAUAUUGCGCAAUGGGCGAAAGCCUGACGCAGCGACACCGCGUGAUGGAAGACGCCUUUCGGGGUGUAAACAUCUGUGGCAGGGGAAGAAGAUCUGACUGUACCCUGCUAGAAAGUACCGGCAAACUACGUGCCAGCAGCCGCGGUAAUACGUAGGGUACAAGCGUUAUCCGGAUUUACUGGGCGUAAAGCGUUCCGUAGGCGUCUUAUUAAGUUUUCGUUAAAAUCCCGGGGCUCAACUUCGGAACUGGCGAGAAUACUGAUAGGAUCGAGUGUGUUCGGGGAAGCUGGAAUUGAUGGUGGAGGGGUGAAAUCCGUUGAGAUCAUCAAGAACACCGAGGGCGAAGGCAGGCUUCUAGGACAAUACUGACGCUGAUGGACGAAAGCUAGGGUAGCAAACUGGAUUAGAGACCCAGGUAGUCCUAGCCGUAAACGAUGGAUACUAGCUGCUUGAGAUUUAUCUUGAGUGGCGUAAGCUAACGCGUUAAGUAUCCCGCCUGGGGAGUACGGCCGCAAGGUUAAAACUCAAAGGAAUUGACGGGGGAGCGCACAACCAGUGGAGCAUGUGGUUUAAUUCGAUACGAAGCGAAGGACCUUACCUGGGCUUGAAAUGUACCUGCGAACUUUGGGAAACCAGAGCAUCUUUCGAAGGGGGUACACAGCUACUGCAUGGCUGUCGUCAGCUCGUGUCGUGAGACGUCCGCUUAAGUGCGGUAACGAGCGCAACCCUUGCCGUGUGUUGCAAUUCACACGGGACUGCCUUGUUACGAACAGGGAGGAAGGAGAGGACGACGUCAAGUCAGUAUGGUGCUUACGUCCAGGGCAACACACAUCCUACAAUGGCCACAACAACGGGUAGCGACGGGGUGACCCUGAGCCAAUCCUUAAAUGUGGUCUCAGUUCAGAUUGCAGGCUGAAAUUCGCCUGCAUGAAGUUGGAAUUGGUAGUAAUCGCGGGUCAGCAGACCGCGGUGAAUACGUUCUCGCUCCUUGUACACACUGCCCGUCAAGCCAGCAAAGUUAGCAGCGCCCGAAGUGGGAUUUCUAAACUUAAUAGCAAUAUUAAGAUGGAGCCCCCUAAGGUGAGGUUAGCGAUGAGGACUAAGUCGUAACAAGGUAUCCGUACUGGAAGGUGCGGAUG
rnacentral:rRNA from 1 species